UACGUAGGGGGCGAGCGUUGUCCGGAUUUAUUGGGCGUAAAGAGCUCGUAGGCGGUUUGGCAAGUCGGGUGUGAAAACUCCGGGCUCAACUCGGAGACGCCACUCGAUACUGCCAUGACUCGAGUCCGGUAGGGGAGUGCGGAAUUCCUGGUGUAGCGGUGAAAUGCGCAGAUAUCAGAAGGAACACCGGUGGCGAAGGCGGCACUCUGGGCCGGUACUGACGCUGAGGAGCGAAAGCGUGGGGAGCGAACAGG
rnacentral:rRNA from 1 species